AGCUCUUCGUGUAGCCAAGGAUGACUUGCCGGCCGGCCUGCAUAUAUGUCUCCAAAUUAACAAGCUUAACAAGCUAGGUCGGCAAGUUGUUUGCUUUGGCUACAUGACUGCCUCA
rfam:Brachypodium distachyon strain Bd21 chromosome 3, whole genome shotgun sequence.